rnacentral:rRNA from 1 species
UACGAAGGGGGCUAGCGUUGCUCGGAAUUACUGGGCGUAGAGCGCACGUAGGCGGCUUCUUAAGUCGGUGGUGAAAUCCUGGAGCUCAACUCCAGAACUGCCUUCGAUACUGGGAAGCUCGAGUCCGGGAGAGGUGAGUGGAACUGCGAGUGUAGAGGUGAAAUUCGUAGAUAUUCGCAAGAACACCAGUGGCGAAGGCGGCUCACUGGCCCGGUACUGACGCUGAGGUGCGAAAGCGUGGGGAGCAAACAGG